UAUCUCUGUAGAGUCUGCAUAUCAAUAAGCGGAGGAAAAGAAACUAACAAGGAUUCCCCUAGUAACGGCGAGUGAAGCGGGAAGAGCUCAAAUUUGAAAUCUUCAAGGUUUGACCUUGACGAAUUGUAGUUUAAAGAAGUGUUUUCGGUUAGAGGAGUAGUAAAAGUUCUUUGGAAUAGGACAUCAUAGAGGGUGAGAAUCCCGUAUUUGACUAUUCUUUCUAGCUUUGUGAUACACUUUCAAAGAGUCGGAUUGUUUGGGAAUGCAGUCCAAAAUGGGUGGUAAAUUUCAUCUAAAGCUAAAUAUUGGCGAGAGACCGAUAGCGAACAAGUACCGUGAGGGAAAGAUGAAAAGAACUUUGAAAAGAGAGUUAAACAGUACGUGAAAUUGUCAAAAGGGAGGCGUUUGACACCAGUGUUGUUUUUCCGAAAAUCAAUUACGAAUGGCUUGAUUUUGUGUUGUAUUGACCUUAUCAGCUUUCUUCACUUUUUUCGAGUCUUUCUUAAUGCACUUUUUGGUUAACAAGUCAACAUCAAUUUCUUUUGUUGUAAAAGAGUAUUCGGAAGGUGGCUUUCUUUUCGGAGAAAGUGUUUAUAGCCCUAUACUUCUACAAUCGGAGAGAUUGAGGUCUGCAGCGUAGAUCCUUCGGGGUUAGAUACACUUGUGCUAAGUUGUAGCUUUUCAUAGACAACUUGUCGACUAUGUUUAGUCAUGUCGCUUACUCGCUUAUGCUAUUUUACCUACGCUUAGGAUGUUGAACUACUGAGACAUAGA
rnacentral:rRNA from 1 species